CGACUCGCUGGCCACCGUUGCCGUCAUAGGCGGGAGGGGAGUGACGUUCCUGCGCCUCCUUCCCCUCACUUCCCUCUCUUCUGUGUUCCUUUGUUGUGUUCUCUCACGAUUGUGCUGUAAGAUGUGCUCGCACCUUUGUGUGUACUUUUAAGCGUUUGUUUCUCCAAGUAGCUUCAGGCCUUUGCUGCUGCUCUUGUCGUUUUGUUUCAUAUAUAUAUAUAUAUAUGUAUCUGUGUUUGUUGUAGCUGAUGCGUGCAAGAGAGCAAGAUGCCGUGGCGAAGGGAUCAUCUGCACGCACGCACAGAGUUUGGUGGGCUGCCUCGGAAUCAGCGUCGAGUAUUCCGCAAGAAUCUCUGCAUCACGCCCCUCGUUUUUACAUGUUGUCUCUCUCUUUCUCUCUGCGCGAAGACAGCCGAAGCCGUCCACGGCGGCGAUGAGAAGAAAAUGUAAGCAAAGCAGGCUUUUCAUUGACCGUAAUGUCUGCUCAAGCCUCUUUUUGCCGCCGCCGACUUCCCCAGCAGCCGCUUGUCAUGGGCCUCUAGAGCAUCCCCACAUGUUGUUGUUGCAUCUAUCAUGUGUGCUGUUUUUGUUUCUUCUUUGUUAAAUGCGCAUGUGUAUGUUUAUGUGUGUGUGAAUAUGUUUGCUCGUUUUCUCUUCUGUUCUCUGCGGUUCUACCGCCCACCCGUCCGUCCGUCCGCUCAGUCAGCCCGCCCCCGCGUACUUGCACGUGCGUCUUCGACUACUUUGUCUUCAUUUGCUUUCCUUCCCCUAGUCUUUACCUCGCUGUUGUUCGUUCUCCUCUUUUCCUUUCUCGUUUCGUUUUUUUUUACGUUUUUUUUUUUUGCUCUGUUGUGGUCCUCACGUAUUCGGGCACCCAUGUGGGUGCUGCUGGCCCGUCGCGGGCGCCUCUCAUUGAACUUGACCGUUGUGGCCAUCGGGAGCUGCAGCAUGACGACAAAGUAGACAUGCGAGCACAGUCAGCAGCUUCAGGGGAGCCAAAGUCCAUUGCCUGGUUUACUGACCUGGCCACCAAUUUCAGAUGCCAAACCGGCAUCUCCCGAAACCACGACACGCGAUGCGACGCGCGACGGCAAGAGGUAGUUGGCGGCGACUGUUUGACACGAAAGAACAGGGAUGCUGCUCUCAAGAGUCGACGGGAAAACAUGCUCGCCCCGCUCUGCAUGGCCAUCUGCCCGCGCCUUGGGGUUCCCACACCAACGGGUGACUGGCCACGACAAGACAGGGCGCAGAUGGUGUGCUGCCUACUGCUGUGAGGGCGGCCGACCGGGCGUCGCGCCCCAUAUGCGACACCAGACUCGCGGGCCGCUCGAGGCCGAAGGCAGACCUCUCUUCACGCUGUGGUGUUGCACGCAACAGACCGACGACGCAAACGUCGCUCACGCUGCAUGGGCUGCUCUCGCCGGAUGCCCAUGGCACCCCCUUUCUCUGCCUCUUCAGGAGGACAAGCUGUGAGUUCCUUGCGCGCACGCACAUGUCUGUACACGGGGCCCCUCCGCUUGACAUACCCGCUCCUAGGAAGGGCGUGCGGGUUUGGGGGAGGGGGGGGGCAGAGUGCCCCCUGCUGCGUCAGACUCAGGGCACCGUCCCACCUGUCACAGCGCAUGCGGGCAAGCCAUCCAGACAAGCCUCUCACGGCGGUAUUGGCGGAAACGGAAGAUGGCGGCAGCGAGCCCCCAUAAGGCAACAACUUCAUCCUGGGACAGGACCAAAUCUCCGAAAGUGCGAGCACUGUGCGCGCCCGCUGCCAUGUAGAGCUGGCAUGAUGUAUUAGACUCACGCAAGGCAUGGAAAGGCCUGAAGAUCCAGAGUGCUCCGUAAAGAACGCGAGAUACGGUCCACACCAAUCAG
rnacentral:misc_RNA from 1 species